UACGUAGGGGGCUAGCGUUGUCCGGAAUCAUUGGGCGUAAAGAGCGUGUAGGCGGCCCGGUAAGUCCGCUGUAAAAGUCAAAGGCUCAACCUUUGAAUGUCAGUGGAUACUGCCGGGCUAGAGUCCGGAAGAGGCGAGUGGAACUCCUGGUGUAGCGGUGGAAUGCGCAGAUAUCAGGAGGAACACCGGUGGCGAAGGCGGAUCUCUGGGCCGUAACUGACGCUGAGGAGCGAAAGCAUGGGGAGCGAACAGG
rnacentral:rRNA from 1 species